CUUGGUCAAUUAGAGGAAUUAAAAUUCAUAACAAGGUCUCCCGUUGGUGAACCAGCGGAGGAAUCAUUACAGAAGUUGCGAAACUCCCUAAAACCAUUGUGAACGUUACCUAAACCGUUGCUUCGGCGGGCGGCCAGGGUCCUUCCCGGCGCCCCCCGGCCCUCGCGGGCGCCCGCCGGAGGUAAACCAAACUAUUGCAUUAAUGGCCUCUCUGAGUCUUCUGUACUGAAUAAGUCAAAACUUUCAACAACGGAUCUCUUGGUUCUGGCAUCGAUGAAGAACGCAGCGAAAUGCGAUAAGUAAUGUGAAUUGCAGAAUUCAGUGAAUCAUCGAAUCUUUGAACGCACAUUGCGCCCGCCAGUAUUCUGGCGGGCAUGCCUGUUCGAGCGUCAUUUCAACCAUCAAGCCCCCGGCUUGUGUUGGGGACCUGCGGCUGCCGCAGGCCCUGAAAUGCAGUGGCGGGCUCGCUGUCACUCCGAGCGUAGUAGUUACAUCUCGCUCUGGGCGUGCUGCGGGUUCCGGCCGUUAAAAGCCUUAUUUACCCAAGGUUGACCUCGGAUCAGGUAGGAAGUCCCGCUGAACUUAAGCAUAUCAAUAAGCGGAGGA
rnacentral:rRNA from 1 species